AGCGGCGGACGGGUGAGUAACACGUGGGUAACCUGCCUGUAAGACUGGGAUAACUCCGGGAAACCGGGGCUAAUACCGGAUGCUUGAUUGAACCGCAUGGUUCAAUUAUAAAAGGUGGCUUUUAGCUACCACUUACAGAUGGACCCGCGGCGCAUUAGCUAGUUGGUGAGGUAACGGCUCACCAAGGCAACGAUGCGUAGCCGACCUGAGAGGGUGAUCGGCCACACUGGGACUGAGACACGGCCCAGACUCCUACGGGAGGCAGCAGUAGGGAAUCUUCCGCAAUGGACGAAAGUCUGACGGAGCAACGCCGCGUGAGUGAUGAAGGUUUUCGGAUCGUAAAACUCUGUUGUUAGGGAAGAACAAGUACCGUUCGAAUAGGGCGGUACCUUGACGGUACCUAACCAGAAAGCCACGGCUAACUACGUGCCAGCAGCCGCGGUAAUACGUAGGUGGCAAGCGUUGUCCGGAAUUAUUGGGCGUAAAGCGCGCGCAGGCGGUUUCUUAAGUCUGAUGUGAAAGCCCCCGGCUCAACCGGGGAGGGUCAUUGGAAACUGGGGAACUUGAGUGCAGAAGAGGAGAGUGGAAUUCCACGUGUAGCGGUGAAAUGCGUAGAGAUGUGGAGGAACACCAGUGGCGAAGGCGACUCUCUGGUCUGUAACUGACGCUGAGGCGCGAAAGCGUGGGGAGCGAACAGGAUUAGAUACCCUGGUAGUCCACGCCGUAAACGAUGAGUGCUAAGUGUUAGAGGGUUUCCGCCCUUUAGUGCUGCAGCAAACGCAUUAAGCACUCCGCCUGGGGAGUACGGUCGCAAGACUGAAACUCAAAGGAAUUGACGGGGGCCCGCACAAGCGGUGGAGCAUGUGGUUUAAUUCGAAGCAACGCGAAGAACCUUACCAGGUCUUGACAUCCUCUGACAACCCUAGAGAUAGGGCUUCCCCUUCGGGGGCAGAGUGACAGGUGGUGCAUGGUUGUCGUCAGCUCGUGUCGUGAGAUGUUGGGUUAAGUCCCGCAACGAGCGCAACCCUUGAUCUUAGUUGCCAGCAUUCAGUUGGGCACUCUAAGGUGACUGCCGGUGACAAACCGGAGGAAGGUGGGGAUGACGUCAAAUCAUCAUGCCCCUUAUGACCUGGGCUACACACGUGCUACAAUGGGCAGAACAAAGGGCAGCGAAGCCGCGAGGCUAAGCCAAUCCCACAAAUCUGUUCUCAGUUCGGAUCGCAGUCUGCAACUCGACUGCGUGAAGCUGGAAUCGCUAGU
rnacentral:rRNA from 1 species